AUUUCGCAAUUUAUGCUUUGUUUAAUUAUUAUGUUUUAUUUAAAUACACGCCAUUAAUGGAAAAGCGUAUUCAAUUAACAUACAGAAUCAUUAGUUGCAUGGGAAUAUAAAAAUAAAAUAAAAAGUUAUUUACACUAACACCUCCUUGAGGUUUUUUGUGUUUUCACAUCAUCCUUAAUGUUCUAGAAAUUACACAAACACCCCCAUUAGAUUUCAAAAUGAUUUCACAUAACUUCAAAAUCCAAAUUUUAAAUAUUAAAAAAAAAAACCCUAAAUUUAGAUGUAACACUACUUAUGGAUAGAUCUGGCAAAAUCCCACACGACAUGAUAACACGAUACGAAUUCGCACGAAAAAUUCAAUAUUCAGAUUGGAGUUAUCGCGUCGUGUUGCUAUUGUGUUGACCCAUUAAGCUAACGGGUCGUUUUGGUGUCCAUACACGAACCAACCUGUUAAGUGGAGAUAAUUUUGUAAUUUUCAAUUCUAAAAAAAAAAUACCUUAUAACCCUAGCAUCUCUUCAUUCCGCAGCUUUUUUUCUUUCUCUGCAGUUUUCUUUCUCUAUCUCCCAAGACCUCAUCUUCUCCUUCUUCUUGCUUUGCUCUGCUCUCUCUGUCUUUGAAGAUCUUCCCUGCUGCCAAAUCCUCUCUCAAGGUGAAACGGGUCGUGUUAUGUGAUUCGCGAAUUGAAGCGGGUCGUGUUCGUGCUUGAUAUUUUCACGAAUGCCAGGUUCUCAAUUUGCCGUCCGUGAAUAACUUGUGCAGUUCUAAGUAGUUUUGAUGAUUUGAAAACCCUAAGCUAGCUACCCCUCCUCCAGGUCAAAUUUCACUCUUCUGUUUGGUAGCUAGUGUGUUGCUAUAAGCUGGUUAAGUUUCUGGAUAUGAUUAGUGAUAAUUAAGAAGCAUACAUACAUACAUACAUACUUUUGGCUAAUUAAGUUUCUGAAGAUGGAGAAGAGAUAGAGGAGCAUUUCAAGCAUGGCGGUGGUCACCACAAGUCUGUCAACAUCGCUGGCGUUCAACACUUUCUUAAAACGGCGCCAUCUCGAUCUCUCUUUCUCACUCCUCUCUCUCAACCUGCUGAGCAGGUUUUCAAGUUAUCUCAUUCAAUGAUGUAGAUCUGUCCUUAUUAUUUUGUCUAAAUAUAACUGUCAA